UAGAGUUUGAUCCUGGCUCAGGACGAACGCUGGCGGCGUGCUUAACACAUGCAAGUCGAACGAUGAACCACUUCGGUGGGGAUUAGUGGCGAACGGGUGAGUAACACGUGGGCAAUCUGCCCUGCACUCUGGGACAAGCCCUGGAAACGGGGUCUAAUACCGGAUACUGAUCCUCGCAGGCAUCUGCGAGGUUCGAAAGCUCCGGCGGUGCAGGAUGAGCCCGCGGCCUAUCAGCUAGUUGGUGAGGUAACGGCUCACCAAGGCGACGACGGGUAGCCGGCCUGAGAGGGCGACCGGCCACACUGGGACUGAGACACGGCCCAGACUCCUACGGGAGGCAGCAGUGGGGAAUAUUGCACAAUGGGCGAAAGCCUGAUGCAGCGACGCCGCGUGAGGGAUGACGGCCUUCGGGUUGUAAACCUCUUUCAGCAGGGAAGAAGCGAAAGUGACGGUACCUGCAGAAGAAGCGCCGGCUAACUACGUGCCAGCAGCCGCGGUAAUA
rnacentral:rRNA from 1 species